rnacentral:rRNA from 1 species
CUAACACAUGCAAGUCGAACGGCAGCACAGGAGAGCUUGCUCUCUGGGUGGCGAGUGGCGGACGGGUGAGGAAUACAUCGGAAUCUACUCUGUCGUGGGGGAUAACGUAGGGAAACUUACGCUAAUACCGCAUACGACCUACGGGUGAAAGCAGGGGAUCUUCGGACCUUGCGCGAUUGAAUGAGCCGAUGUCGGAUUAGCUAGUUGGCGGGGUAAAGGCCCACCAAGGCGACGAUCCGUAGCUGGUCUGAGAGGAUGAUCAGCCACACUGGAACUGAGACACGGUCCAGACUCCUACGGGAGGCAGCAGUGGGGAAUAUUGGACAAUGGGCGCAAGCCUGAUCCAGCCAUACCGCGUGGGUGAAGAAGGCCUUCGGGUUGUAAAGCCCUUUUGUUGGGAAAGAAAUCCAGCUGGCUAAUACCCGGUUGGGAUGACGGUACCCAAAGAAUAAGCACCGGCUAACUUCGUGCCAGCAGCCGCGGUAAUACGAAGGGUGCAAGCGUUACUCGGAAUUACUGGGCGUAAAGCGUGCGUAGGUGGUCGUUUAAGUCCGUUGUGAAAGCCCUGGGCUCAACCUGGGAACUGCAGUGGAUACUGGGCGACUAGAGUGUGGUAGAGGGUAGCGGAAUUCCUGGUGUAG